rnacentral:lncRNA from 1 species
CCUGGGAUGAUUCGGAAGGCCUAAGGCAUCUGAGGUAUGGAAGUGUGAGGCUCCUGCGAAAUAAAACUCCUUCAAUCAUGCAAUAUCUCGGAGCUUUGGACCGGAUGCUUCUCGCUGCUCGAGGAUCUUCUGGAAGACUGCCAUGUUUUAUGAAGUCCACUAUUGAAUCCAUCCACAAUGGCUCAUUAUCAAUAUCCAUGACGCCUAUGGUCUGAUUGAUGUUUGGCUUGGUUACAAUUCUAACGUGGACUGUCCUGUCAAGCCCAUCUAUUCCCAUGAACACCAAUCUUGACAAGGCAUCGGCCUUACAAUUCUCAGCCCGAGAAAUUUUCAC